UACGGAGGGUCCAAGCGUUAUCCGGAAUCAUUGGGUUUAAAGGGUCCGUAGGCGGUUUUGUAAGUCAGUGGUGAAAGCCCAUCGCUCAACGGUGGAACGGCCAUUGAUACUGCAAAACUUGAAUUAUUGGGAAGUAACUAGAAUAUGUAGUGUAGCGGUGAAAUGCUUAGAUAUUACAUAGAACACCAAUUGCGAAGGCAGCUUACUACGGGUGUAUUGACACUGAGGCACGAAAGCGUGGGGAUCAAACAGG
rnacentral:rRNA from 1 species